AAGGUAGCGAAAUUCCUUGUCGGGUAAGUUCCGACCUGCACGAAUGGCGUAACGAUGGCCACACUGUCUCCUCCUGAGACUCAGUGAAGUUGAAAUGUUUGUGAUGAUGCAAUCUCCCCGCGGCUAGACGGAAAGACCCCAUGAACCUUUACUGUAGCUUUGCAUUGGACUUUGAACCGAUCUGUGUAGGAUAGGCGGGAGCCUGUGAAACCACAACGCCAGUUGUGGUGGAGGCGUCCUUGAAAUACCGCCCUGAUUUGUUUGAGGUUCUAACCUGGGACAGUCAUCCUGUCCGGGGACCGUGCAUGGUAGGCAGUUUGACUGGGGCGGUCUCCUCCUAAAGGGUAACGGAGGAGUGCGAAGGUACGCUAGGUACGGUCGGAAAUCGUGCUGAUAGUGCAAUGGCAAAAGCGUGCUUGACUGCGAGACCCACAAGUCGAGCAGAUACGAAAGUAGGUCAUAGUGAUCCGGUGGCUCUGUAUGGAAGGGCCAUCGCUCAACGGAUAAAAGGUACUCUGGGGAUAACAGGCUGAUACCGCCCAAGAGUUCAUAUCGACGGCGGUGUUUGGCACCUCGAUGUCGGCUCAUCUCAUCCUGGGGCUGUAGCCGGUCCCAAGGGUAUGGCUGUUCGCCAUUUAAAGAGGUACGUGAGCUGGGUUUAAAACGUCGUGAGACAGUUUGGUCCCUAUCUGCCGUGGGCGCUGGAAGAUUGACGGGGGCUGCUCCUAGUACGAGAGGACCGGAGUGGACUCACCUCUGGUGUACCGGUUGUCACGCCAGUGGCAUCGCCGGGUAGCUAUGUGGGGAAGAGAUAACCGCUGAAAGCAUCUAAGCGGGAAACUUGCCUGAAGAUAAGUCUUCCUGGAGGCUAGACCUCCCUAAAGAGUCGUUCGAGACCAGGACGUUGAUAGGAUGGGUGUGUAAGUGCUGUGAGGCACUCAGCUAACCAUUACUAAUUGCUCGUGAAGCUUGAUCCU
rnacentral:rRNA from 1 species